AUGCAGCGUGAAGGUAGCAAGCUCUGCUCUGGAAGAAGGGGAGGCGUCUGCCCCAUUUCUGGAGCGGACCGUGAUUGCUGUCACAUCUACAAGGUUCAGGGGACGUGGUAUUCUGUCCGCACCUCGCGGCUGGCAGUGCCAGCAGCUCUGAGAGACACUCAGCCUGGCCGUCACGGUUGUCACAGGGUCCCCCUCCGCGCACGCACCCCCAGAAAUGAUAGCCAUUUAGACGGUAAUGGGCACGAGGGAGGAAAGCGGGAGCGCAGCACCUCAAGCCUUUGGGCUCCCGUGAGAGCCACGCAUGUUCCGACUGAGGCAGUGUGUCUCCUCAGUCUUAGCUCUCGAGGGUCCUCCAGGGACCCUGGACUCUGGUCCUGCCGCUUCCCUGAGGUAGCCGGAGGAAUGUGUGAUAUCUUAAAUAUGUUACCACUGCACGUUGAAGAGAUCAAAUUUCCACACAUUACAGACGGACUGGAGCACAGCUCCGGGGGAUUGGAGGAGGCAGGCGUCUCUCUCACACGAUUCCAUGUUCCUGGAGAAUUAAUCUGAUUAUGACUACCUUCAAUGUGGCUUUAUUGAGAGUCUCGUGUGGCAUGAACAUUUCAUAUUUAACCAGGGAGAAGCGCCCUGAAAACUUGAGAUGAAGGUAAAUCAGUUUAUUUUCAAAGAACUAAAGCAGAAACUGCCACAAGGAAAGUUUUAUGUACAUGUUAAUGGCUGUAAACGUAUGACCAACAUUUGGAAACAUCAAACCCCAGGGCGACCUGGAUGCUGUCUGGGGGCGCCUCCGUGGACUGAUGGUGGGUGGAACUGAGUUGAUUUUGCUGUAUCCGCCCAGAGGAAGACUGCAGUAGAAUGCGGGUGUGAGUGGGCACACACAGGAGCCAGGGCUCUGCAGAUGUGAAAGUCAUUGGGGUUUCUUUCUUCAGCGCUAUGCUGCUGUAGUUACAUCUUACUGUACUGAGUGCUAAUUGGACACUGGUGAUGUACCAGACACUGCCUCUCUCUGGAUUGAAGUGAUCUCCAUGAUAAAAGUGGGGACACGGAGCUCCAGACUGUGUCAUCACGCAGGUUUUAUGUGAUGCAGCUAGGGUUCAAACUCCAGUGUCCUGACAAAGGGGCCCCGCCUCCAUCACUCUGGGAGGCUGCUUGCCUGGAAUACCCUCUAAGGUGAUUUCUAAACUUGUGUCUUGGCUGUGUUUGCUACAAAGACUCACUGCAGUGCCUCGGUUGGUCUGGAACUCUUGAACUCAAGUGAUCCUCCACUCUCAGCCCCUCGAGUAGCUGAGACGACAGGCAUUAUUUGCUGCUUAAAAACAAUUCUUUUUAACUUUUCCAUAUUCUGAUUCUUUGCUCAACAAAUACAAUUUAAAUAUUAGUUUGGUUCCCAACUCGUUCUGAUUCCGGAAAGGAGUCAUUUUAUUACAAAUGCAGUGGCAUUUAGGCUUCUAUGCAUUUAGAAAAAGUGAAUCACAGAAUACAGACUUUGCCCCUGCUUGCUCACGAUCAUUUGAAGAGCUACUCAAAAGUGCAUUCCAGAAGGGGUGCCAAUUUAUGAACUCUUACUGCUCUCAAAGGGGAUAAGUACGGUGAUUGAGAGCAAGCUCUAAAAAGCUUGUACAACAGUUUUUUAUGGUUUAUUUUUUUCUCAGUGCUGGGGAUUAAACAGUGGCACUUCCACAGAGCUGCAGCUUCAGCGACUCCCCCAUCCGCUUUUUACUAUGUCGCCCAAGCUGGUCUCAAGCUUGGGAUCCUCCUGCCUCAGCCUCCUGUGUAGCUGGGAUUUUGGGCAUGCACCACAUUGUUCAGUUUAUGUAGCAAUUUGAUAGGACAAACCUGUAUCCGUUGAACUUAAUUUUUUCUUUACACUUUUCUAGUAAUUCAUUCUUACUGAGAAGCACAGCCGCAAAGGUUGGAAACCAUGGAAAGCAGACGUGGUAUAAAUAGCAUUACAACGGCCCCAUCCUUAGUCUUUCAUAAGUGAGGCCACCAUACGACAUUUUCCAGUAUUGUGUAUUCCUAGUCUGCCAUGCUUUGGUUUCUUUGGUCAGGAAAGUAUACCGCUCACCUCAGCUCCCUUCCACCAGCUUUGAGGAAGAGCUAUGAUUGUGGUCUCACCAGUACAUGGACAUGUUUUUGUUCAAAUCCCGAUGUGUACCUGUCAGAUUUUAUUGCAGUCCACAAUGGCUUGUCUACCUCUGCCUUCCUUCCCUCUGUUUUAAAGGAUUGUUUUCUAUUCUUUCUCUGCCACUCUCUCAGUGUAUAAUUCCACCGUCACUUAUAGGGCUUUUCUGGCCUUAGCUUUCAAAUAUUCAACGGUGACUCUAAAAUGUGCUUCUGUCUGCUGGCUCUUGUGUCCCACUCUACAGAGGAGGGUGUAGUUUUUUUUUUUUUUUUUUUUUUUGACUCACUUUUUCCUACUUGGCCCAAGCUCUCUCUGAAGAACCUGUUUUUCCUCCCCCCCUACUUUGUUUGUUUGUUUGUUUGUUUGUUUUUGUUUUUGAGACAGGGUCUCACUAUGUAGUUGACAAUGACCUGGAACUUACUGUGUAGCCCAGGCUGGUCUCGAACUUGCAGCCAUCCUCCUGCCUCAGCCUCCGAGUGCUGGGAUUACAGGCAUGCACUACCAUGCCUGGCUUCCCCUACCUUUAAUAAAUGUGAAACUGCCACCAUUAAUGAAUAAAUAACCAAGUAAAAUGUGCUUCCAGUAAAAACUUCUCUCCUGAGCUUCAGAUAUAUAUAUUUCCAUAGGAUGAAUUCCAGGUACCUUACAUUAACAUGGCCAAACCUGAGAUGAUAAACUCUGUCCUGAUGUCAGUGCCUCAAACCUUCUGCCCCUGGGUGUUCAAGCCGGAAAUCUGAUAGUUAUGCCAGAGUCCUGUUCUUGGCCUGAGAAGAGACAAGUAUAGAAACAGCAAGUCUUCUCUUUUAUCUGAUUGGCCACCAUAUUCUACCAAGUCUAACUAUAACAUAUCUCAGAAAUUUCUGAUUUUUACUUUCAGAGCCUUAAUUCCUUCUUUACACUUUCCCUUCCUCCUUCAGUGGUAUUUACUGAGAUGUAUUGCAAUAGCUUGAUUAAAUGACUUGUAGUCUUAGUCAUGUGUUUGGCACAUGUCUAUGAUCCCAGAAGUCAGGAGGCUGAAACAGGAGAAUCACUGAGACUUUGAGGCCAGCCUGUGCUAGUUAGUUCAAGACCAGCCUUAACUACACAGUGAG
ensembl:lincRNA